rnacentral:rRNA from 1 species
UACGUAGGGGGCUAGCGUUGUCCGGAAUUAUUGGGCGUAAAGGGCGCGUAGGCGGCUGUACAAGUCAAAGGUGAAAUCCCUCGGCUCAACUGAGGAACUGCCUUUGAAACUGUACGGCUUGAGGCCGGGAGGGGGUAGCGGAAUUCCCAGUGUAGCGGUGAAAUGCGUAGAUACUGGGAGGAACACCAGUGGCGAAGGCGGCUACCUGGACCGGUUCUGACGCUGAGGCGCGAAAGCGUGGGUAGCAAACAGG